rnacentral:rRNA from 1 species
GGGUUGUGAGGUUAAGCGACUAAGCGUACACGGUGGAUGCCCUGGCAGUCAGAGGCGAUGAAGGACGUGCUAAUCUGCGAUAAGCGUCGGUAAGGUGAUAUGAACCGUUAUAACCGGCGAUUUCCGAAUGGGGAAACCCAGUGUGAUUCGUCACACUAUCAUUAACUGAAUCCAUAGGUUAAUGAGGCGAACCGGGGGAACUGAAACAUCUAAGUACCCCGAGGAAAAGAAAUCAACCGAGAUUCCCCCAGUAGCGGCGAGCGAACGGGGAGCAGCCCAGAGCCUGAAUCAGUGUGUGUGUUAGUGGAAGCGUCUGGAAAGGCGCGCGAUACAGGGUGACAGCCCCGUACACAAAAAUGCACAUACUGUGAGCUCGAUGAGUAGGGCGGGACACGUGGUAUCCUGUCUGAAUAUGGGGGGACCAUCCUCCAAGGCUAAAUACUCCUGACUGACCGAUAGUGAACCAGUACCGUGAGGGAAAGGCGAAAAGAACCCCGGCGAGGGGAGUGAAAAAGAACCUGAAACCGUGUACGUACAAGCAGUGGGAGCACAGAGCAAUCUGUGUGACUGCGUACCUUUUGUAUAAUGGGUCAGCGACUUAUAUUCUGUAGCAAGGUUAACCGAAUAGGGGAGCCGAAGGGAAACCGAGUCUUAACUGGGCGUUAAGUUGCAGGGUAUAGACCCGAAACCCGGUGAUCUAGCCAUGGGCAGGUUGAAGGUUGGGUAACACUAACUGGAGGACCGAACCGACUAAUGUUGAAAAAUUAGCGGAUGACUUGUGGCUGGGGGUGAAAGGCCAAUCAAACCGGGAGAUAGCUGGUUCUCCCCGAAAGCUAUUUAGGUAGCGCCUCGUGAAUUCAUCUCCGGGGGUAGAGCACUGUUUCGGCAAGGGGGUCAUCCCGACUUACCAACCCGAUGCAAACUGCGAAUACCGGAGAAUGUUAUCACGGGAGACACACGGCGGGUGCUAACGUCCGUCGUGAAGAGGGAAACAACCCAGACCGCCAGCUAAGGUCCCAAAGUCAUGGUUAAGUGGGAAACGAUGUGGGAAGGCCCAGACAGCCAGGAUGUUGGCUUAGAAGCAGCCAUCAUUUAAAGAAAGCGUAAUAGCUCACUGGUCGAGUCGGCCUGCGCGGAAGAUGUAACGGGGCUAAACCAUGCACCGAAGCUGCGGCAGCGACGCUUAUGCGUUGUUGGGUAGGGGAGCGUUCUGUAAACCUGUGAAGGUGUACUGUGAGGUAUGCUGGAGGUAUCAGAAGUGCGAAUGCUGACAUAAGUAACGAUAAAGCGGGUGAAAAGCCCGCUCGCCGGAAGACCAAGGGUUCCUGUCCAACGUUAAUCGGGGCAGGGUGAGUCGACCCCUAAGGCGAGGCCGAAAGGCGUAGUCGAUGGGAAACAGGUUAAUAUUCCUGUACUUGGUGUUACUGCGAAGGGGGGACGGAGAAGGCUAUGUUGGCCGGGCGACGGUUGUCCCGGUUUAAGCGUGUAGGCUGGUUUUCCAGGCAAAUCCGGAAAAUCAAGGCUGAGGCGUGAUGACGAGGCACUACGGUGCUGAAGCAACAAAUGCCCUGCUUCCAGGAAAAGCCUCUAAGCAUCAGGUAACAUCAAAUCGUACCCCAAACCGACACAGGUGGUCAGGUAGAGAAUACCAAGGCGCUUGAGAGAACUCGGGUGAAGGAACUAGGCAAAAUGGUGCCGUAACUUCGGGAGAAGGCACGCUGAUAUGUAGGUGAAGUCCCUCGCGGAUGGAGCUGAAAUCAGUCGAAGAUACCAGCUGGCUGCAACUGUUUAUUAAAAACACAGCACUGUGCAAACACGAAAGUGGACGUAUACGGUGUGACGCCUGCCCGGUGCCGGAAGGUUAAUUGAUGGGGUUAGCGCAAGCGAAGCUCUUGAUCGAAGCCCCGGUAAACGGCGGCCGUAACUAUAACGGUCCUAAGGUAGCGAAAUUCCUUGUCGGGUAAGUUCCGACCUGCACGAAUGGCGUAAUGAUGGCCAGGCUGUCUCCACCCGAGACUCAGUGAAAUUGAACUCGCUGUGAAGAUGCAGUGUACCCGCGGCAAGACGGAAAGACCCCGUGAACCUUUACUAUAGCUUGACACUGAACAUUGAGCCUUGAUGUGUAGGAUAGGUGGGAGGCUUUGAAGUGUGGACGCCAGUCUGCAUGGAGCCGACCUUGAAAUACCACCCUUUAAUGUUUGAUGUUCUAACGUGGACCCGUAAUCCGGGUUGCGGACAGUGUCUGGUGGGUAGUUUGACUGGGGCGGUCUCCUCCUAAAGAGUAACGGAGGAGCACGAAGGUUGGCUAAUCCUGGUCGGACAUCAGGAGGUUAGUGCAAUGGCAUAAGCCAGCUUGACUGCGAGCGUGACGGCGCGAGCAGGUGCGAAAGCAGGUCAUAGUGAUCCGGUGGUUCUGAAUGGAAGGGCCAUCGCUCAACGGAUAAAAGGUACUCCGGGGAUAACAGGCUGAUACCGCCCAAGAGUUCAUAUCGACGGCGGUGUUUGGCACCUCGAUGUCGGCUCAUCACAUCCUGGGGCUGAAGUAGGUCCCAAGGGUAUGGCUGUUCGCCAUUUAAAGUGGUACGCGAGCUGGGUUUAGAACGUCGUGAGACAGUUCGGUCCCUAUCUGCCGUGGGCGCUGGAGAAUUGAGGGGGGCUGCUCCUAGUACGAGAGGACCGGAGUGGACGCAUCACUGGUGUUCGGGUUGUCAUGCCAAUGGCACUGCCCGGUAGCUAAAUGCGGAAGAGAUAAGUGCUGAAAGCAUCUAAGCACGAAACUUGCCCCGAGAUGAGUUCUCCCUGACUCCUUGAGAGUCCUGAAGGAACGUUGAAGACGACGACGUUGAUAGGCCGGGUGUGUAAGCGCAGCGAUGCGUUGAGCUAACCGGUACUAAUGAACCGUGAGGCUUAACCUUACAACGCCGAAG